AAGAAUAAGACUUUAUUUAGUAAAAAAAAAAUAAAAUAAAAGAUUCUAGACUAAAGCAAAAGCACAGGCAAGAAAAAACAAGUACAUUGUGAGAUGUGAUGGGGUUCAAAUUUUGCUGCCCAUGAAGCACAAACUGAAAACAUUAUCUGAGAUGCCAAUUAGUAUAACUGGCAAGUCCAGCUGAAUGAGUAAGUAACCAUGUAAUUGAAGACAUAGCUAUAUAGUAAACUCCCACUUCUCUUUGCACUGAAGAU